UACAGAGGGUGCGAGCGUUAAUCGGAAUUACUGGGCGUAAAGCGUGCGUAGACGGUUAUGUAAGUCAGAUGUGAAAGCCCCGGGCUCAACCUGGGAAUGGCAUUUGAGACUGCAUAGCUAGGAUGCGGAAGAGGGAAGCGGAAUUUCCGGUGUAGCGGUGAAAUGCGUAGAUAUCGGAAGGAACAUCAGUGGCGAAAGCGGCUUCCUGGUCCAGCAUCGACGUUCAGGCACGAAAGCGUGGGGAGCAAACAGG
rnacentral:rRNA from 1 species